rnacentral:misc_RNA from 1 species
GAAAUAUCCGUUGUCGAAUGAAUUCCUUGUUCUAUCAAAGGCUACCUCUGUAGUAUCGCCUGCGCUACAUGUUGUUGACAAUGUUUUGGCAAAAUUGGAAUCUAAGGAUGGAUCAACAUCAUGGGUGGUGUCGAAUUUGCUUAGCCUGUUCUUAAAUGAGGAACAUCUCGCAACUCCUAAAGUGUGAGCCCCGGCUAAGGCAACCAGAUCCUGAACACUGAAACCAUGCUGACCAAACAUCCUGAUGAGAAGUGUGCUAUUUAAGGUCGGUGGUGGCAGAUUGAUUGUGUCCUCGAUUUUGG